rnacentral:lncRNA from 1 species
AAAGCAUUUGAGAUUUUACCAGGUCGAGGAAUCCUGUUUCUAUCAGACAGUUGGAGUGCGACAUCGCGUUGAAGUCACCACAGACAACCCAAGGUCGAAGAAAGCAAGAUCUGAUAAGUCGAAGUUCCCUCCAGAAGAGUCUUUUGAUGCGACGUUCGGUGGGGCCUUAGACAGUAGUGAAGGUCCGAGGAACAUUUAGGAGCUGAUCAUGCCAAAGGGCAGUAAUGGCAGAGUGAUCACCGACCUACUUCCUGAGCAGGUCAAAUCGUAAGUUAUUCCAGUCAAGAAGAACUCCCCCCGCUGAGCCAGAACCAUUGCAGACAAUCCAGGAAGAGAUUUUGCCCCUCGAGAGGGACCGAAAAGUGGCAGGAGAGGCAUUCUCAAGCUUGGAUUCCUGAAUACCAAUGGCGUGGCAGUCAUUGGCCAUGAUGACGUCUUUGACAAUCCUUCUCCUGACAGGAUCGCCAAGACCCCUAACAUUCCAUGAAAUCAGAGCCAUAGGAGAAAGAAUUCAUCAGUAUCCAAGGUAAGAGGUUGGAGAAGCAGCAGAG